GAUGAACGCUGGCGGCGUGCCUAAUACAUGCAAGUCGAGCGAACAGACGAGGAGCUUGCUCCUCUGACGUUAGCGGCGGACGGGUGAGUAACACGUGGAUAACCUACCUAUAAGACUGGGAUAACUUCGGGAAACCGGAGCUAAUACCGGAUAAUAUAUUGAACCGCAUGGUUCAAUAGUGAAAGACGGUUUUGCUGUCACUUAUAGAUGGAUCCGCGCCGCAUUAGCUAGUUGGUAAGGUAACGGCUUACCAAGGCAACGAUGCGUAGCCGACCUGAGAGGGGGGUCGGCCACACUUGGACUGGGACACGGUCCCGACCCCCACGGGAAGGAAGAGUUGGGAAACUUCCGGAAUGGGCGAAAGCCUGACGGAGCAACGCCGCGUGAGUGAUGAAGGUCUUCGGAUCGUAAAACUCUGUUAUUAGGGAAGAACAAAUGUGUAAGUAACUAUGCACGUCUUGACGGUACCUAAUCAGAAAGCCACGGCUAACUACGUG
rnacentral:rRNA from 1 species